rnacentral:tRNA from 2 species
UAGAAAUUUUAAGGUUAAUAAAAAAGCUUCUAACUUUAUUUAAGGUGGUUCAAUUCCAUCAAUUUCUUU